rnacentral:rRNA from 1 species
UAAUGGCGUACCAAGGCGACGACGGGUAGCCGGCCUGAGAGGGCGACCGGCCACACUGGGACUGAGACACGGCCCAGACUCCUACGGGAGGCAGCAGUGGGGAAUCUUGCGCAAUGGGCGAAAGCCUGACGCAGCGACGCCGCGGGGGGAUGAAGGCCUUCGGGUUGUAAACCCCUUUCAGCAGGGACGAAGCGAAAGUGACGGUACCUGCAGAAGAAGCGCCGGCUAACUACGUGCCAGCAGCCGCGGUAACACGUAGGGCGCAAGCGUUGUCCGGAAUUAUUGGGCGUAAAGAGCUGGUAGGUGGUCUGUUGCGUCCGCUGUGAAAAAUACAUGGAUUAACCAUGAGCCUGCAGUGGAUACGGGCAGACUAGAGGUAGGUAGGGGAGAAUGGAAUUCCUGGUGUAGCGGUGAAAUG